CUCGCUACUCGUCGGAAGGACACGAAGAAGCCAUCGUCGUUCUGCUGUAACGUUCAUUGCAGAGCAAGACAGCGGCGGAAAGACUAAAGGCGCCAUGUCAAGCACGACGAAGCUGGAUGCUACAGACUGUGCUGUUUUCGGCGUGCUGACUGCUCUUGGUUAUAUCGUGGGCCUUUACUUUUCCUUUGCCCGUCGACGGAAACAGGUGGCGUCGGGCGAGGGUGGCCUGGUGAAUCCGGAGCUGGAGGCGUUCUUAGGAGGUCGCAGCCUUCCCUCCAUAGCACUGGCCGUUUCUGUUCUCGCUUCAGCAGUGAACGGCAUGAACGUGGUGCCUAUCGUGGGACACUACUACGCGUACGGCUUCCACCUUAUCUGGACCGUGGCCUGGAUUCCCAUUAGCGCCACUUUCGUGGCGGUAACUGUGGUGCCGCUGCUCUACAGCCUACGGGUUUCAACCAUA